GGUUAAGCGACUAAGCGUACACGGUGGAUGCCCUGGCAGUCAGAGGCGAUGAAGGACGUGCUAAUCUGCGAAAAGCGUCGGUAAGGUGAUAUGAACCGUUAUAACCGGCGAUGUCCGAAUGGGGAAACCCAGUGUGAUUCGUC
rnacentral:rRNA from 1 species